AGCAUGUGGUUUAAUUCGAAGCAACGCGAAGAACCUUACCAGGUCUUGACAUCCCUGACACCCGAGAGAUCGGGCGUUCCCCUUCGGGGGACAGGGUGACGAGGUGGUGCAUGGUUGUCGUCAGCUCGUGUCGUGAGAUGUUGGGUUAAGUCCCGCAACGAGCGCAACCCUCGACCUUAGUUGCCAGCAUUCAGUUGGGCACUCUAAGGUGACUGCCGGCUAAAAGUCGGAGGAAGGUGGGGAUGACGUCAAAUCAUCAUGCCCCUUAUGACCUGGGCUACACACGUGCUACAAUGGGCGGUACAAAGGGUCGCGAACCCGCGAGGGGGAGCCAAUCCCAAAAAGCCGCUCUCAGUUCGGAUUGCAGGCUGCAACUCGCCUGCAUGAAGCCGGAAUCGCUAGUAAUCGCGGAUCAGCAUGCCGCGGUGAAUACGUUCCCGGGCCUU
rnacentral:rRNA from 1 species